rnacentral:rRNA from 1 species
CACGGGGAGGUAGUGACGAAAAAUAACGAUACGGGACUCAUCCGAGGCCCCGUAAUCGGAAUGAGUUUACUCUAAAUCCUUUUGCAAGGACCAAUUGGAGGGCAAGUCUGGUGCCAGCAGCCGUGGUAAGACCAGCUCCAAUAGCGUAUAUUAAAGUUGUUGCGGUUAAAAAGCUCGUAGUCGAUUUUGUGUCCCGUUCCGCUGGUUCAUCGCUCGCGGUGUUUACCGGUGUGUUUCGGGACGUCCUGUCGGUGGGUUUUCGGAUCGUCCGUUUACUCUGCUCGUAUUCUGCUGCGGCAGGUGCGAAUCCUAUUGUGGUGCUCUUAAUUGAGUGUCGUGGUAGGCCGGCACUGUUACUUUGAACAAAUUAGAGUGCUUAAAGCAGGCCAAUGAUGCCUGAAUAUUCUGUGCAUGGAAUAAUAUAAUAGGACCUCGGUUCUAUUUUGCUGGUUUUCGGACCCCGAGGUAAUGACUAUCAGGAGCGGAUGGGGGCAUUCGUAUUGCUACGUUAGAGGUGAAAUUCUUGGAUCGUAGCAAGACGUACUAAAGCGAAAGCAUUUGCCAAAAACGCUUUUAUUGAUCAAGAACGAAAGUUAGAGGUUCGAAGGCGAUCAGAUACCGCCCUAGUUCUAACCAUAAACGAUGCCAGCUAGCGAUCCGCCGAAGUUCCUCCGAUGACUCGGCGGGCAGCUUCCGGGAAACCAAAGCUUUUGGGUUCCGGGGGAAGUAUGGUUGCAAAGUUGAAACUUAAAGGAAUAGACGGAAGGGCACCACCAGGAGUGGAGCCUGCGGCUUAAUUUGACUCAACACGGGAAAACUUACCAGGCCC